rnacentral:rRNA from 1 species
AUUGAACGCUGACGGCAGGCCUAACACAUGCAAGUCGGACGGUAGCACAGAGGAGCUUGCUCCUCGGGUGACGAGUGGCGGACGGGUGAGUAAUGUCUGGGGAUCUGCCCGAUAGAGGGGGAUAACCACUGGAAACGGUGGCUAAUACCGCAUAACGUCGCAAGACCAAAGAGGGGGACCUUCGGGCCUCUCACUAUCGGAUGAACCCAGAUGGGAUUAGCUAGUAGGCGGGGUAACGGCCCACCUAGGCGACGAUCCCUAGCUGGUCUGAGAGGAUGACCAGCGAAACUGGAACUGAGACACGGUCCAGACUCCUACGGGAGGCAGCAGUGGGGAAUAUUGCACAAUGGGCGCAAGCCUGAUGCAGCCAUGCCGCGUGUAUGAAGAAGGCCUUCGGGUUGUAAAGUACUUUCAGCGGGGAGGAAGGCGAUGUGGUUAAUAACCGCGUCGAUUGACGUUACCCGCAGAAGAAGCACCGGCUAACUCCGUGCCAGCAGCCGCCGCAG